AUUGAACGCUGGCGGCAUGCCUUACACAUGCAAGUCGAACGGUAACAGGUCUUCGGCUGCUGCCGAGUGGCGAACGGGUGAGUAAUACAUCGGAACGUGCCCGAUCGUGGGGGAUAACGAGGCGAAAGCUUUGCUAAUACCGCAUACGAUCUACGGAUGAAAGCGGGGGAUCUUCGGACCUCGCGCGGACGGAGCGGCCGAUGGCAGAUUAGGUAGUUGGUGGGAUAAAAGCUUACCAAGCCGACGAUCUGUAGCUGGUCUGAGAGGAUGAUCAGCCACACUGGGACUGAGACACGGCCCAGACUCCUACGGGAGGCAGCAGUGGGGAAUUUUGGACAAUGGGCGAAAGCCUGAUCCAGCCAUGCCGCGUGCAGGAUGAAGGCCUUGGGGUUGUAAACUGCUUUUGUACGGAACGAAAAGCCUCUUUCUAAUAAAGAGGGGUCAUGACGGUACCGUAAGAAUAAGCACCGGCUAACUACGUG
rnacentral:rRNA from 1 species